CUCUGCCUGAAGCCAAACGCUGCUGAGCCCAGAGGCCUCUCCACUGCCCCAGCCCUCGUGCUCCGUGAGUGAGAAAGAAGUCUCUGUCCUGAGUCGUCGAGAUACUGGGUUUGCUUGUUUCAAGAGCAAAAUCUGACUGAGUAAUCAGGGUGAUGAUCAGGGGACACUGAGCUGGCUUCAAAGCAGCCCUUGCCCAGGUCAGGGAGGACUGUCCGGUAUGUGGUUUGUGACUCAGGUGGCACUAUUUCUCCUCCCGUUUCUGGGUGUGAGGGGUCAAGUAAUUACACAUGUCAUGCAUCUGUUGGGUGUUUUUUGUUUUUGUUGUUCAAAAUUCAGUUAGAAAAUGAUUGGCUGGGAGUAGAGGAAGAUGAAACUGAAAGUAAAAUUCCCAGCCUUUAAGAGAACACCCUGCAGGCAGGGGACAGAACACCUGACACAGCGGCUGUGGCUUCAGUAUGUCUGGGGUGCUAGCUGGGAUCCUGGCUGGGAGUGUGCUGAUCGCGUGCGCCUUGAUCUGUAUGUUCUGGGACAAUUUACCAUAUGGAACACAAAAGGAAUCGGCGUCCACCCACCAAGAGGACACUGAGUAUCACAGGUGAGCCCCGGAGCUCCUCAGAGGGUGCAGAGAUGCCCCCAGGGGUGGAGACUGGCGGGUCCUCCAGGUUCUUGUUUCCUGCCCAGGAUGGGUGAGCCCCACGGGGUCUCAGGGCCUCAGUUCCACCCCUCCCUCACCCUUAACACCCCUCCCGUGUGUCUGUUUGUCCAGGAGAGACGAGUGGAUGUCAACGAGCAUGCAAGUGGCACCUCGUUUGCAUAGUGACACAAUGAGGUCUCGCGCUCUGUGUAACAGAAGCUAAAGAUUCCAGAGGUGUCUCUCAUGGGGACCAAAAGAAGGCCUAACCUUCUGGACCUCCAGGACCCUGGUUGUCCCUGCCGUGACGACCUAGGGAAAUGUCCCCACCUGAUCACAUAAUCGACUCCACGCUCCAGUGCAGCCUGCGCUCUGCACUCAGCCUGCUGGAUCGCGCUGCUCCUCUAGUCAACGGAAGAUGGGGAUUUGAGAUGGAUUUGAACAGAGAGGCCUGCCUAGGGCACGUGCAUCUGUGAGGGGCACCCAUGCCUGGGGCCUUGGGGGACACCCUCCCUGCGCUCCCCUGCACAUGAGCUCGUGGGUUGGAGGAACAAAUAUCUAGCCGCUUAACCCUAACUCUUCAGUCACUGCUGCAUUUAAUAAACACGAGUGAGCAUUUCAUGUGGUCAAAGCUCUCUCUGGCAGGAGGGGGACAAUGGUGAGGGUGACACAGUCCGUUCCCUCAAGGAAGUCC
rnacentral:lncRNA from 1 species